rnacentral:rRNA from 1 species
CGGCGUGCUUAACACAUGCAAGUCGAACGAUGAAAUUCUGACGGAGGCUUCGGCCAACUGGAGGGAUGGAUUAGUGGCGGACGGGUGAAGUAACGCGUGAGUAACCUGCCUUUCAGGAGGGGAAUAACAUUUGGAAACGAAUGGUAAUACCGCAUAACGUCAUGAGACCGCAUGAUCUUAUGAACCAAAGGAGCAAUCCGCUAGAAAGAUGGACUCGCGUCCGAUUAGCUAGUUGGAGAGGUAACGGCUCCCCAAGGCGACGAUCGGUAGCCGGACUGAGAGGUUGAACGGCCACAUUGGGACUGAGACACGGCCCAGACUCCUACGGGGAGGCAGCAGGUGGGGAAUAUUGCACAAUGGGGGAAACCCUGAUGCAGCAACGCCGCGUGAAGGAAGACGGUCUUCGGAUUGUAAACUUUUGUUCUUAGUGAAGAAAAAUGACGGUAGCUAAGGAGAAAGCCACGGCUAACUACGUG